rnacentral:misc_RNA from 1 species
UAUAUAUAUGUAUAUAUAUAUAUAGAAAAUAUGAUACAUAUAUUAUUAUAAUUUAAACGAGCAGCCAUAGAACAAAAGCAGUUGUGGGUGAGCUGGUUUAAACCUCCUCAAUAAGAGGCGUGCGCACCAACAAGCGAGGGUUUGAAUCCCACCAGUAGCAUUUAUUUUUUUAAAAAAAUUCCACCGAAUUUUAUGUUAAAGGAAGUGAGCACCCACAACCUUUAAAUCCUGAUCCGCCACUGCUAUUAAGUCAUGCCACAAGAAAUUUUUACUUGUUCAUUAUUUUAAAAAUUAAAUCUUAUUUUUACAUAUUAAUUUUAAGUUAUUAAGAAAAAAAUUAUUUUACGCUCAAUAUUAAUUAUUUAUAUUCCCUUUAUUUUCAAUAGCUAAAAUUAUACAUCAAUUAAUCAUUAUUUUUUUUUAAAUAAUACGUAAAAUUGAAGUUGAACAACGAAAAGUGAAGGUGGGAUUAUAUGCCACGCAAAUAAGCAAAUUAAAUCAAUGAAAACCUAAAAUAGUUUGGUCACAUUUGAUCCUCCUGUAGCAAUUUUUGUAUUUUUAGGCUCUCGAAAACGGGUUUUAUUUAUUUAUUGUUCUAGUUUAAUUUUUUCUUGUAUAAUGCCAAUUUAUUUAUUUAUUAUUCUAGUUUAAAUCAACUUUUGUUUUAAGCGAUAAGUGUUGGGUGUUGCCUUCCAAUCGAACAUUGGCAAGUGAGGCUGUAGACAUUAAUCAAUUUACAAUAUCAAUAAUGGAGUUAAAUUUUUAUACAAAUCAGAUUUCCUUUUAAUUUAAUUUUUUUUCAAAGCUAAUCUUUAAAUUUUAUGAAAAAUUGUGUCUUUUAAAAAAAGAUGAGACUUUUAUGAAGAGUUGUCAUUUUUAAAUAUUUUGCCUUUAUAUGAAAGGUUGUAACUUUUCUAAAGAGUUGUAAUUUUUCCAAAAAGUUGCGACUUUUAUUAAAGGUUGUGACCUUUCCAAAGGGUUGUAAUUUUUCAAAAGAGUUGUUAUUUUUUCAAUAAGACAAAAUAAUCAUUUGUUUGCACUAUCCUUUGUUGUCUAUAAAUAGGGGAUUUUUCUCUCAUUUUAAAACAACGAAAAUUUUGAACUUCUUCUUCUUCUUUUGGACAAUCAAAUUGCUCUGCACUUUGCUCCUGUUGAAUGACUCACUAACAUCAUUGUUUAUAUAUCAACGCACUAGUGAAUAGAAUAGUUAUAUCUUGAUAUGAUUUAAUCCUUUAAACAUCGGGUACGAGAGGAGAAUAACUCCCUUAAGGGAACACUGUGCAUUCAACGGAUAUCCUAGUACUUUUUUACAUACAUUAAUUUAUGCCUAUAUUAUAAAUUUUUGUUUUGAAUACUUGCUUUAAAAUUUGUUGUCUAUUUUUAUGCAAAGUUAUUGUUAUAUAUUUGUUGAUACAAAUUAAGUAACAAAUGUUAAUUGCGUGUUGAAGUAACUUUUCUCUAUUGAAAUUGUUGAAGAUACAAUUUAAAAAAUCCUUACAAAUCAAUAAUUUCUUCAUCAACAACAUUACUUCACAUACAAGGAUGUCAUUUUGGGUUUUUCAAAAAACCUUUGCCAGUUAAUAAAUUUGCAUGUCAAUAUUUUUAUUUUUAUGUUGUUAUUAUGUAUUUUACUAAAUUUAUCAGUGGAUAUCAUGAGGACAUUAAGGAUUGAAAGUUAAUUGAAGUGUUAGUCAUUUUUUAUGGUAUAUUAUUUCAUAACGUAGGAACUUUUUUUGGUUAGAAUGCUUCGUUAUCAUCAUUGGAUAUCUCAUAGUUUACCCCCUUUUAAUGUAGUUUUUUUCUCAUUGUUCAAUUGUUUUCUUACAAUUGUAUUGAUUAAUUUUCUUUUGGUAUUUAUGUUAUCUCACUUGGACAAAACUUUUCGUUCUUUUAAUGUUUUUCUUUUUUUUCCUUCUCAUUCGGCUCUUCAAAAUAUUUUUUGUGUGAGUUAUGAAUAUUUUUGUUCAACAUAAUUUGAAAAAUAUGAAAUAAAACAGACUCUAAAUAAAAGUAAUAUCUUAAUGUCUAUUAAUAUAGAUUUGAUGUCCUUCUUGUACCAAGUCAUUAUUGAGUGUUUGAGUUAUCUAAAUUAGACUCAUUUUUAAUUUUUAAAUAUUGGAGAAUAUUUAUUUAGCAUGAGUCUAGAAUUCAACAUUUUUAUCUACUUGUACUUUUAGAAUGCAAUUAUUAUACUUACAUAUUUCUGAACAAGUCGUAAUAUUGCAUUGAUGACACAUCUAGAAGCGCUUUCAGAGUAUCACUUUAUUGAAGAAUGAAAUUCUAAAAGGGACAACAAUAUUAUUUUGUUGUUGGUUCAAAUUUAUUUUACUUCUAUAAAUUUUGGUAGAGUAACCAAGUAACAGUAACAAAAAGUGGUGAAUGUUUGACAUCGCAAAAUAAAAAAAAUUAUUUAUGUUGUUGUAGUGUACAUUUUUUAACAGUCUGAACUUAUUUAUAACUAAUAUUGAUUAUCGAAAACUUUCAAAUAUGUUACUGGGGGGGUGCGGAAUUCAUCAUAAAGUAAGAUAUAUAUUUUAUAGAAUGUUGGGGGUGCGGAAUUCAUCAUAAAGUAAGAUAUAUAUUUUAUAGAAUG